rnacentral:lncRNA from 1 species
GGAUCCAAGAGGCUGUUUUCGUUUGUUUUUCCAGAAAGCCAAAGCAGAGGAAGAAGGUUAUUUUGAAGCAUUCAAAAAUGAGCUUGAAGCUUUCAAGGCAAGAGUAAGACUUUACGCUCAGUCACAAAGCUUUGCACCUGUGACAGUUGAGAAUCAUGCUCCCCAUUCUGGUGUCGGGUGCAUAGGCUCCGCAGAACCCCUACCACAGGGUUUUGUAUAGUGAAAAGAGUCCUCUGAAACCCAACCAUCACUGCCAACCUGAGCUCUGAUGGGCUCAACAGCUGCUUCUUGGGUGAAAGGGGCAGCUGCUUCACCCUCCCCCUCUGGCCUGGCGUUCUUUUAUUUUCCUCCUGAGUGACACUAACCCGAAAUAGAAACAGAAACAACAUAGAAAGGACUCCUGGAGACAAGUCGGACCCAGCGUUUGCCUUUUACUAAAGAAACACAAAGUGUUGUAUGGGUUUCCUCCGUAAGUUCUUGUUUGUUUGUUUGUUUGUUUGUUUGUUUGUUUGAAGCAAGUUUGACUGUUGUAAUCAAGGUUGGCCUUGAACUCUUGAUUCUCCAAGAAUGCUGGAUCCUCUUGACUGUUAGAAUUAUGGGAGAGAGCCAUUGUACUUGACUUAGAAAGUAUUGUAUUUUAUUAGGAUUAAAACAAAAACAGUUCCCCUGUGAGAUGAGGUAUUUAAGACAUCGAGCUCCAGUCACCUUUGUAUAUGCUUGGGG